CAUAAAAAGACCAUAACAAGAAACCUUUUUCAAGUAAGAACAAGCUACAUCAUAUAAUAUCAUCACUAGGUAAGCUAAUAUAGAAUGAAAAGAAACACAUUUAUCACCAAAACAAGAGAAGAAAACAAGUACUAAAUAAACAAAAAAAAAUUAUCAACUGGGAAAUAUAUGAAGAAAGACUCAAAACUUUAUGAGAACCACUUAUAACAUCAUAAUAACGUUUGAGAUAAGGUUGCAACUUGCAAAAUGAAAGGUAGGUAUGGACUUUGGACACCCUGCAGAGAGAUAAUAAAGAAUGAUAAUAAUCUUAUCCGGGUUUAAAGACACUCUUUCUCUUCCAGAGGGUUACAUUGAAUUGUCGAGAAUAUUACAGUAGUAACGUGAAGAGGAAGAAACCUUAUCUUUGCAGUUGCAGACAUGGCCGGUUUAAUGAAGCUUCAGUUGUCUGUUUUAGAAAGCAGCGGUUGCUGCAGCCAAAGGAAACAUAAGCAAGGAAGACGCUGCUCGUAUAUGUGUUGAAAGCUCUGAGUGUGGUCUCCCCAACAGGAUUGCUAAACAUUUUUUUUGUAUUUCUUCUGAGUAGGUUUCACAUGGAGCAGAGGCUGUUCUAAUUGGGAAGGACAGUUAAUGAAAGUGAUGCAAAGACAUAGUGGAAAGAAGCAAAGCUUUGAAGCUGAGAUGAACAGAACAUUAGAGAUCAUCAUUUUCUUUAAACAUCUGUUGCUGGAGAAAAGAUAUUCCUACAUAUUUGAUAUCUCAAAUUAUUUGUUUUUAUUUUUAUUUUUUUUGACUAAGAUUUCUUUUUAUUUUCUGUAGGAAGAAAGUAUCAUGCAUGAGUGUUAGCAAGCAUGAGAUCUUUACCAAAACAUGGGGGCCCUGCUAUUUACAUCCAUACAUUAUUGUAAUUUUAUAAGAUAUCCACAAGAAAGUUGAUUGAAAAUGAGAUGGUGUGAGCCAAUAAAUUUUAAUAUUUACAAAAAAUGGUGCAAUACAUGAAGUGAACCAAAAGGUUGUCUGGAUUCUCUUGUCCAAAAACCCAAAUAAAUAAAAUGAAAAGGAAUGGAAAAAAAGAAGCUUUAUGUUCUAAAACAACUUGGAGGAAUAAUGUGACCUAACUAAAGCUAAAACUACACGUCUUUGUUGUCUUUUUGACUUUAAGGAUCAUGCAAGCACAAAGGCAACAGUGAUCAUCAUCUUAUAUUCUCUUUUAUGGCCUUCUUUUGUUAGAUCACAUUAUAGUACACUUCAGUUCUUUUUCCUUUUUC